GACGAGCGCUGGCGGCGUGCUUAACACAUGCCAGUCGAACGGAAAGGCCCUGCUUUUGUGGGGUGCUCGAGUGGCGAACGGGUGAGUAACACGUGAGUAACCUGCCCUUGACUUUGGGAUAACUUCAGGAAACUGGGGCUAAUACCGGAUAGGAGCUCCUGCUGCAUGGUGGGGGUUGGAAAGUUUCGGCGGUUGGGGAUGGACUCGCGGCUUAUCAGCUUGUUGGUGGGGUAGUGGCUUACCAAGGCUUUGACGGGUGGCCGGCCUGAGAGGGUGACCGGCCACAUUGGGACUGAGAUACGGCCCAGACUCCUACGGGAGGCAGCAGUGGGGAAUAUUGCACAAUGGGCGGAAGCCUGAUGCAGCAACGCCGCGUGCGGGAUGACGGCCUUCGGGUUGUAAACCGCUUUCGCCUGUGACGAAGCGUGAGUGACGGUAAUGGGUAAAGAAGCACCGGCUAACUACGUG
rnacentral:rRNA from 1 species